rnacentral:lncRNA from 1 species
CACUCAUAUAAACCUAAAAUAAAUGGGAAGUCACGUGUUAGUCUUUAAUACUUUUAUCACGUAAUAAUUUAAUCGAAAAAUUAAUUAUAUUAGCUAUUUGGACUAAUUAAUAACAUUAUAAAAAUUUAGGUGUCAAAUUAUUUUAAAAAUUAAAGUAUUUAAAAAUUUCAAAUUUAAACAUAUUAGAGAGACCAAAGGUGAAAUUUAACCAUUUGUGUAAAGGCAGCAUGGUGAGAGAGCCACAUGUCAGCCCAAGGUUUUUUAUAUAUAGGUAUAUAAUAUUAGAGGG